rnacentral:misc_RNA from 1 species
GUUAUGAAACAAGAGAAGGACUUAAUGUCACGGUACCCAAUUUUCUGCCCCGGACUCCACGGCUGUUACUAGAG